GGCUACCUUGUGCUUCUUCUAUCUCUGUUGCGGGUGCCACAUUUAAACUCAUCUGUAAUUCUAUUUUUGUCUUAAUUAAACUUUCUUUAUUUCCUUUUGGUUGUUGGUAUAUAAAGGGUUUCUUUUUCUGUAACUGUGAGCUUAAUUACCUGAAGAUGAUGUUCGUUGGGUUAUGUGGAAAGUUAGUUAAAAAGAGGGUUGUGUUCUGUGGGGAAGAUAAUGGAUGGAUUUUUACGUCAAUGGUAGAUCUAUCAAUGCAGCUUGUUGCUAAUGGGAACUUGAAAGCUUUCUUGGGUGCUGGUCAUUCUUUCGCUCUGGAAUGGCACAACGAUGAGUUUUUGAGUUUGAAAUUGAGCUAAUUUGAAAAGGAGUUAAUUUUCCUUCAUGUGAAGAGCUUAAUCCAUAACUGUAAAACCCUUUUCUGAAAUGAAUUUUUAGCGCUCUC
rnacentral:misc_RNA from 1 species